rnacentral:rRNA from 1 species
UACAGAGGGUGCGAGCGUUAAUCGGAAUUACUGGGCGUAAAGCGCGCGUAGACGGUUUUGUAAGUCAGAUGUGAAAUCCCUGGGCUCAACCUGGGAACUGCAUUUGAAACUGCAUGGCUAGAGUAUGGAAGAGGGAAGUGGAAUUUACGGUGUAGCGGUGAAAUGCGUAGAUAUCGUAAGGAAGACCAGUGGCGAAGGCGGGUCUCUGGACAGUUCCUGACGCUGAGGCACGAAGGCCAGGGGAGCAAACGGG